CCCUCUCCGGUGGAGAGCAGUUACCCAGCCAGCUUCCAGAGGAAAAGGCCACAGGUCCCCGACGGCCCUCCAAGAGGCCCCUGGGGAAGGACAGUGCCUGCUGUCCCACAGACCAUGGCCCUGCAUCUCCUGCAGCCGGGCAAUUCCCAGCUCUCACUCCCACGAGUCCUCCUGUGGCUGGAAGAUGUGACCAGGGCACUGUCUGGAGGGCCACCAGACACUUGCCCACUCAUGAACUCUGUCCGGCACCAAUGCCUGAGCUCUGGGACAGCGAUGGGCCAGGACACUGGCCCAUGAACAUCUCCCAGAGCCCUACCGCUGGAGGCAGGCUGCCCGGAGGUCCUCAGUGCUGAGCCAGCAGAGCCAGAGGAUCGAGAGCAGGGUUUCCGGAAGUGGCCACUGUUCCCUUCCUCUUGGCACAAGAUGGCCCAGCCGCCGCCUCCCGGCUCUGCGCCCCUCUCCUUUGUCUGCCGCCCGCCGCCCAGAGCCCUGGCCCAUGCGCCCGCUGCCGGGAACCGCGGGGAA